UGCACCAUACUCGCAAAUGUGUAUUUACUGCUUUCAAGCUUAAACUAUAAGCAAAUCUUCAUCUGAUUCUCACAGUGACAGCAGAAAAAGGAACAUCUUUUUUUAAUGUGUCUUCUGUUCUACAUGAACAUACACACAACUCAGAACGAAAUAAUCAAUCAGAGGUUCACUGUGAGAGAGUAUGUCACUAUUCCGUGUAAACAUGAAGGGAAAGUGAGAUGGAGUACAGACAGAGAUGGAACAAGUGUGCACAUUCUCACUGCAGAAAAAGAUGGAGAGACACGAAAACUAAUUUCAGAUCCUCAUAAACGUUAUAGUUUAUUGGGUGAUUUUUCACUACACAUAAAGAAUGUUUCAAACUCAGACUCUGGAUUUUAUUACUGUAAUACAAAUCCAACUGUGAAUCUGAUAGUAAAAGAACCAGAUCAAACUACAGGUUUCAGCCACAGUCAACCAGAAGACACAACACCAACACAAGGCCCAUCUGCCAAGAAAUCUUCAGAUAUUUUUGUAUGAAAGAAAGCAAGCCAUUGAAGGACACUAUACAUGAUGAAGAUUUACUACAAAAACUGUAAUCAUAUUUGAUCCUGUCUGUGACAUGCAGGCUAAAGUUUUAAAAUCCUAUAUUGAGAUUAGAAGUUUCAAAGUUUUAAUAAUUGAUUUCACAUUUCAAGCAUUGUCAUGACCUUACUCAGUCAAUAUUAA